ACCAUGUUGGCCAGGCUGGUCUAGAACUCCUGGCCUCGGGUGAUCCACCCGCCGAGACCUCCCAAAGUGCUGGGAUUACAGGCGUGAGCCACCGCGCCCCUCCAAUCAGUUGGAGAUGACUUAAACUUAGUUCCGAAGAAGCUCCCUUCCAUUUCUCUCACACUAACGGACAAUAAGGAGGCCUCGAGCUAGGCAGGCCAGGGCCCUACCCGAGCUGCUGGCAGGGUGCAAACCUCAGGAAAGUCAAGCCACCAAAAAACUGAGAGGAAAGCACAAGAAGACCGACCAGGUGUCACAGAGCAGAGAGGCCCAACCGCAAACCCUAGCACGUCCCGAGGAGGAGGGCGGGCAAGCGCGCCUUCUUAUUGGAUGGAGGUGGGCAGCGUGCUCCUACGCCCCACCCCAGAAGGCAAGCCCCCUGCGCGCGGGGCACGGCGGGAGUAAGAGUCUGCGGGACCUGCAGCUGUACUUCAUCUCCCGGCGGGCCGAGCGCUGAAGGCAGCGGCGCGGCGCGGCGCCUUUGUGGUAGCGGUGGCCCCGCGCGGAGGAAGUUCCGGUCUCCGCGACGCUGGUUCGGUGGCGGAGGCUGAGGAGAAGGAGGAGCGGGCCGUGGAGGCUUCGCCGCCUAGGUAGGGGCCCGGGACUGGAGAGAGGGCGUGCCAGAACCUGCGGGGGAAGAGCCUGCAGACGGGCCCACUCUAGACGUCGGAGGCCCGCGCGGCCUGAAAGCUGUGGCUUCGGUGUCUCGGGGCAGCUGCGGCCUCGCUCGGAAAGAAGACCAAGCUACGGUGAGGUACUGCUAUAACCAGAAUUUGGUAGAAAAAGGAUCUACUCGUUGGGGCCCACUUGAUAAAAAGAGAUGUGGGGGGAUUCUCGACCUGCUAACAGAACUGGACCUUUUCGGGAACUCUAAUGUUCCAGGACAAAGAAAUUACCCUCGAGUAUGUACCAAGCCUGGAUUUUUGGUACUGCAAACGAUGUAAGGCAAGUAUUGGUGGGCACCGAUCUUCCUGUUCAUUCUGCAAGAACCCAAGGGAAGGUGAGUGGCAAAAGUAGCAGCAGUUUUUAUCUUGUUCAUUGAGCAAAACAAAUUUCAUGUUUUCCUUGGCUUUGAAGAA